AUUGAACGCUGGCGGCAUGCUUUACACAUGCAAGUCGAACGGUAACAGGCCUUCGGGUGCUGACGAGUGGCGAACGGGUGAGUAAUACAUCGGAACGUACCCAGAGGUGGGGGAUAACGCAGCGAAAGCUGUGCUAAUACCGCAUGUGAUCUGAGGAUGAAAGCGGGGGACCGAGCAGCAAUGUUUGGCCUCGCGCCUUUGGAGCGGCCGAUGUCGGAUUAGCUAGUUGGUGGGGUAAAGGCCUACCAAGGCGACGAUCCGUAGCUGGUCUGAGAGGACGACCAGCCACACUGGGACUGAGACACGGCCCAGACUCCUACGGGAGGCAGCAGUGGGGAAUUUUGGACAAAGGGCGCAAACCUGAUCCAGCAAUGCCGCGUGCGGGAAGAAGGCCUUCGGGUUGUAAACCGCUUUUGGCAGGAACGAAACGGUGUCCGCUAAUACCGGGCGCUAAUGACGGUACCUGCAGAAUAAGCACCGGCUAACUACGUG
rnacentral:rRNA from 1 species